GACGAACGCUAGCUACAGGCUUAACACAUGCAAGUCGAGGGGCAGCAUGAACAUAGCUUGCUAUGUUUGAUGGCGACCGGCGCACGGGUGCGUAACACGUAUCCAAUCUACCCAUGGCUCGGGGAUAGCCUUUCGAAAGAAAGAUUAAUACCCGAUGGUCUCGGUUUAAGGCAUCUUAGACUGAGUAAAGAUUUAUCGGCGAUGGAUGGGGAUGCGUCUGAUUAGGUAGAUGGCGGGGUAACGGCCCACCAUGCCUACGAUCAGUAGGGGUUCUGAGAGGAAGGUCCCCCACAUUGGAACUGAGACACGGUCCAAACUCCUACGGGAGGCAGCAGUGAGGAAUAUUGGUCAAUGGACGAGAGUCUGAACCAGCCAAGUAGCGUGAAGGAUGACUGCCCUAUGGGUUGUAAACUUCUUUUGUUUGGGAAUAAAGUUCGGGACGUGUCCCGUUUUGUAUGUACCAUUCGAAUAAGCAUCGGCUAAUUCCGUGCCAGCAGCCGCAGUAACAC
rnacentral:rRNA from 1 species